ensembl:lncRNA
GCAUUAUUGAGACCUUAAAAGCUUGGUGCUAACAACAAAUGAGCACUGGCCUGGAAAAUCCACUUCCUCUUAGGCAUGAUGAGGUAGGGAUCUGGAAAGCAAGUUUUAGGUAUUUGCAGAAUCUCCCUGCAUUAAAAAAAAAAAAGAAAGAAAGCAAGCAAGAAAGAAAAAAUGGUCACAGUCAUAUACAGGCUGCUUUCAUGGAAUCAUUCAGUUCUGCAGCCCCUGUAUGUGAUCCAAACCUCUUUGCAUCUCCGACUGCAGCCCAGUACCUGAGGGUCAAGUACCCCACUGAGAGCUCAGAAAGAGAAGCCAGAAAAAGAUAUGGAGCUGGUACGGGUGACUGUUGAGCACAGAUGGCCAGUUAUCGAUGUAAUCUGUGUAUCUGGGAGGCAUGUGCUGUAAGAAGGCAGCUGCUAAACUGAAUUAAGCCACAGUUUUUAAGAAGAGAAAGUGGAUUGGAAACGGAUAGAAGUUUUGAAUGUAUGCGGCUGUGUGAAGCUAUGAUCUAUGGUUAAAAAUCAGGAUGAUAUGCACCAAGAGACUGAGGAUCUUUCCAAAGUACAACCCUACGGAAGCCAGACUCCAAAUAGGAAGCUGCCAAGAUCAAUUCAUUUUGAUAAAUCAACUGUUUCAGAAGGCCAUCUACACUGAAAUACAGCUGCUGUUCUUUUUUUUUCUAACAAAAUGAUCAUGAAGCAAGCAUGAACCAACUAUUACUCAGACUGUUUUACUGAACUAAUGAAUUGCUCUGGGAAGCCUGUUAUGAAGAUGUGUGUUCAAUUAUUACAUACAAACUGGUUAAAAGGAAAUACAUCAUAAUUAGGCUAACAUAUCUACUGUGAUGCAGCCUCUCCUGAUGAAAGAACUCCUUUGAGACAGUGUGGGCACAUUGGGGUACUUUGUGUUUUUCUGUUUAUUGAUUUUCAUCUUUUAUAAUUUGAUGGAUUAACCAACACUGGUUCACAACUGUUCCUUGUCCAGUUUAAUGGAGGAAAAAAAAAAACCCUCUUGGCCUCUUUUAAAAAAUCUUUUCCUAGAUGUGUGAGAGGAAUAAGCAUUUGGUCUCCAGCAAUACUACUGAGAACAUUCACCUAGAUCAAAAUGAGGAAAUGCAUUUCAGCUGUCACUACCAUGUCAUUAUGGCCCCUCCUCUACUGCAUUUCUGUUGCCAAAAAGAAUCCUCACCAGAUCAAAAUGAUUGGAAUCAGGCCCAAGACAGCUGUGGCCUAGAUAAAGAAAACCAAGCGAUUUUCAGUCUCCAAGAUACCAAACAGAAAAUGUCACUGAUGGCCAGUAUUACUCAUCUGAAUGUGACACUUUCUGUACAGUCCUUGGCCUAUUGUUGUUUGCUAGAGUUUAAAGAGGAGAGAGGAGAGGAUUCCAUUUACUUUAAAGCCUUCUACUGCAAAGCUGGGGACUCAGCAAGUGACGCAGAGAAAACUUUGGAAGUCUAUGAAAAGAACCAACAAACCAAUCAACUACAGUGCCCCUUAUUCUAUUAAUGUUAUUGUUCAAGAACUGAGGAGAAACUGGCAUGCACAGAAAUUCUAGACGGGAGAGUAGAAAAGGACAUAUGGAGUACGACUCUUAGAUAUAUUAAAAUGUGACCUCAUAUACUACUGGGGACUCUAAUAAAAGGGAGACUACAUGAAGGAAAAGUCAUCAAGUCACAAGAAGUUUGGGUACUGGUAUGAAAUUAAUCCUUUUAGAGCUACCCAUAUUUAAGAUGGCUUCACAGGUGGCUCGGUGGUAAAGAAUCUGCCUGCCAGUGCAGGAGAUACAAGAGAUGCAGGUUCAAUCCCUGAGUCAGGAAGAUUCCCUGGAGAAGGAAAUGGAAACCCACUCCAGCGUUCUUGUCUGGGAAAUUCCCUUGCUUUCUCUGAAAUAAGAUAAUUACACCAUGUAGGAGAUAACGUGUAAAAGUGUGGUAUUCUUGGAAGAACAGUGUUAAAAGAGUCCAGUCAUGAGCAACUCAAGAGUGCUCCCCAACCUUUCUCAUCUCACAAGAUACAUGAAGUUAAUGAUUGUGUAGACAAGGCACAAUAGGUGUGAGGUUGCUCCAGCUGCAAGCUGCCAUCCUGAGGACUGACAGCAUAAAUUUCUCAGAUAUAUUAUGAAGCUAUUCACAUGGGAGGGCUUCCCUGGUGAGUAAGCGGUAAAGAAUCCACCUGCCAAAGCAGGAGACACGGGUUUGGUCCCUGGGUGGAGAAGAUCCCCUGGAGGAGGCUAUGGCAACCAACACCAGUAUUCUUCUUGCCUGGAGAAUCCCAUGGACAGAGGAACCUGGAAGGCUACAGUCCAUAGGAUCACAAGGAAUUGGACACGACAGAAGCGACUUAGCAGCAGCAGCAGCAGCAGAGCAACUCAGCACACACACAUGCAUUCACAUGGGAAGCUUUGCUGUACAGCAGAGGAUAUUAACCUUUCUUGUGCCUUUGAGUGUGUUAGUCAGUUGUAUCUGACUCUGUGCAACCCCACGAACUGGGACCCACCAGGCUUCUCUGCCCAUGGAAUUUUCCAGGCUAGACUACCGGAGUAGGUGUCCAUUCCCUUCUCCAGGUCUUUGUGCCUUGCACCCCUUUCUACCUGGUGAUGCCUAUGGAUCCCAUCUCAGAAUAAUAUUUUUAAAUGCAUAAAAUAAAAUUCAUGAGAUUAAAAAGGAAACUGUAUAUUAAAAUACAGUUUAAAAUAUUAAAAGUCGAGUGUAUGAUAUAGCCUUUUUUAUUAAAACAGGAAAUAAGAAGAUCUAGUGACAAGUCUAGUAACUGCCAUAAUUUCAAAGUACCUGUGACAGCGGGUAAUAUCUGCAACAAUCACACUGUGAUGAUAUCAAAACAUUUAUUAUUUGUAUGAAAGACAAAAUCAUGAGUGUUGCUAAUAUAACAGUGUUUUAUCUUGUAACUUAAAUUCACAGUUGAAGGAUACGCCAACUUUGAGUCUGAAGUGAAAAGAAAUAAGCAUGACAUUUUUUUUUUAAUCCAACAAAUUCCUUGAUUUUUCUCUGUCAAUCUAAUGCUGAACCCUGCUUUAAAAGAAGAAAGGUACAGGAAAAAUUCAACAUUCAGAAAACUAAAAUCAUGGCAUCUGGUCCCAUCACUUCACAGCAAACAGAUGAGGAAACAAUGGAAACAGUGACAGACUUUAUUUUCUUGGGCUCCAAAAUCACUGCAAACGGUGACUACAGCCAUGAAAUUAAAAGAUGCUUGUUCUUUAGAAGGAAAGCUAUGACAAACCUAGACAGAGUAUUAAAAGCAGAGACAUCACUUGCUGACAAAGGUCCCUGUAAGUCAAAUAUAACUUAUAGGACCCUUAGGGACCUUAAUAAGUUUUUCCAGUAGUCAUGUACGAAUGUGAGAGUUGAACCAUAAAGAAGGCUGAGCACUGAAGAACUGAUGCUUUUGAACUGUGGUGUUGGAGACAACUCUUGAGAGUCCCUUGGACUGCAAGGAGAUCAAAUAAGUCAAUCCUACAGGA